rnacentral:rRNA from 1 species
UGCCAGCCGCCGCGGUAAUACGGAGGGUGCGAGCGUUAAUCGGAUUUAUUGGGCGUAAAGGGCGCGUAGGCGGGAGUGUAAGUCAGAUGUGAAAUCCCGGGGCUCAACCCCGGAACGGCAUUUGAAACUACAUUUCUUGAGGGUAGACGGAGAAAACGGAAUUCCACGUGUAGCGGUGAAAUGCGUAGAUAUGUGGAAGAACACCAGUGGCGAAGGCGGUUUUCUAGUUUAUACCUGACGCUAAGGCGCGAAAGCAAGGGGAGCGAACAGGAUUAGAUA